GUGGGAAGUUGUAUAAAACGAGGAAACUGGUUAAUUAGGGUUCGAUAAACAGAUUGCAGGACCCUUUUACACUUUGACAAGUACAAAUACAAGUACUUUGACAAGUUUUACAUUUUGACUGGUAUUGAUAUAAGUAGCCUUGGUAAAAAAUUAUUUUCAGUUUGAGUACAUAAAAAACAAAAUAAAAUUCAUUAUAUUAUACAUUUCGUUAUAUUACAUAACAUGAAGUAGGAAUUUUAAAAUAAAAUAGUAAAAUCAGUCAAUUUGACUGGUGUGGUAGUUGUGCUAUUAUCCUACUUUCACUGUAGAUGGCGAAAUGAUUGAACAGUUGUGUCCACCGAACGAUGCCAUAAUACCUGGUCGACCUUUUAAAUUAAGAGCAAGUUGUCGAUAGUUUCGUAAUGGUGGCUAAUGGUGUUGACGACAGGUGUGAUGACGAAGCAGUGACAUGUUUGAGGAGGCUAGCGUUCGAAGCAAAGUGACGAUGGAAUAAUCUUCGUCUGAUUUAUCGUGUUGGUAGGACGUGCAGCGAUAAAAACGUUGACUGAAAAUUUGAUCCUCCAGUGGUUCGCUGUUCUCAAUACGAUCGCUUUCUAUAUAUCGCGCGACGAGUCGCAAUCGAAAUCGAAAUCGAAGAUCACGCCGUCCCGUAUAACCGAGAUUAUCUACGAGUGUUCGGGUAGAAUGGCCAAGGAAGCAAUUUAGCUGUCCUUUUGAAAGCCGGAUCGUGGAAAACGAACUUCCAACACGAUUAACGAUAAUUUGUGAUCGACAGUGGAGUUGCCGAGAUUUUGCGACGACGUAGCAGCGCAUGAUGUAGCACAGAUUACAUAAUCAUAAGAUACGUAAGUGAAGAAUUAUGCGAAGAUCUCGAUUGUUUCGACGUACCACUUUUAGGCGCUGUCUUAUCCGCACUUUGCAUCGAAACACACAUCGCCGAUGAUCGUAAGCAGUUUAUACGCUAAAGAGUUUUUGACUCGUCGAUUUAAUUAAAUUGAAAAAGAAUUUAACCCUUUGCACUCGAGGGGCGAUUCUCGUCCACAUCGUAACCGUGUGGCAAAUCGAGAGGAGAAUGAGAGGCGACAGUCCCUGUUUAUGAGAGCGCAGUAUUGGUUCAUAAAUAGAUUCCUUAGCUCUUUAUAUUGUUUGUUAUGAAGUGUGAAGCGUUACAGUUUAAGAUGCAGGUGAAAUAUUUAUGCUCAAAUUCUGACGAAACUAUUGUUCUGUAAACGUUAAUUCAGAUUCGACGACCGUGGUACAAGUAUUAUAGUUUCGUAAAUUUAAAAGCUCCAAAAAAUGGAUUUGGAAAUUUGUUUAAUUAAUUCAUAUAUCCUGUAAAAAAGCAAAAGAACGAAGGGCCAUUUAACCACCUGCGAGUUAUAAAACCUUUUUUUCCAAAAGUAUACCAGUUGAGAGGAGAAAUUCGAUUAAAUGGAAAGCUGUAUGUAAUUUUAACAGGAAGAAAGAAGGAUUGUAAGGUGUGUUCUUACCGAAACAAAGCAGGAGAAAGACACGAAAUAACUUAUUAUUGCGAUACUUGUACCGAGAAGCAAAGAAUGCAUCUUGCCAGAUAUUUUACAAAUUAUCGUAAAAGUACAGAAAAAUAUUAAAAAGCGAUA